rnacentral:rRNA from 1 species
UACGGAGGGUGCAAGCGUUAUCCGGAUUCACUGGGCUUAAAGGGUGCGUAGGAGGGCAGGUAAGUCCGUGGUGAAAUCUCUGAGCUUAACUCAGAAACUGCCGUGGAUACUACCGGUCUUGAAUACCGUGGAGGUGAGCGGAAUAUGUCAUGUAGCGGUGAAAUGCUUAGAUAUGACAUAGAACACCAAUUGCGAAGGCAGCUCACUACCCGAAUAUUGACUCUGAGGCACGAAAGCGUGGGGAUCAAACAGG